UAUAUAUUUAUUGUUGGAGGUUUUGUGAGGAAAAAAAUAAGAAAACUUUCAAAUAUCACCGAUUGGUUUCGCACUUUCUCACUUCAAUAUUAUGUAAUUUAAAAUGUGCUCUCGUUAACUUUUCUUUAAAUCAUAUACAAAAAGCUUCACCACCUAUAAUUUAUUAAGUAUUCACUUUAGUACCCUUUAGUUUUAACUUUAUCACCAAGUUAACGAAAAAAAAUAGUGAACAAGAUAAUAAAAGGAAAAAAAUAAAAUUAUAUGGUACAAAAGUGAUACAUAUAUUUUAAAUCAGAGAGUACUAAAGUAAAAAAAAUGCAAAACCACUGGAGUGGUAUUUGAAAAUUUUUCAAAUAAUAAUUCUAAAAAUCAAUUAUAUUUUAUAAAUGAGAUUAUCAAAUACUCUAUUGAGUCAAAAAUUAUUUUUAAAUUUAAAAAU
rnacentral:lncRNA from 1 species